AGUUCGGAAUAAGCUGCGGGAGAUAGUAGGUGUAUCCACAAAACUGGAGAGACCACGUAAAAGCAAUGGAGGAAAGGAAGUUACUUGAUAAUUUUUUGGCUAAAUCACAGAAAGACCUACCACCGAGGAAAAUGAAGGAUUUGACUGUUCAAAACACAGUAAGAUUCGGCAGGAUUCUUGAGGAUCUUGACAGCUUAGGAGGUACUG